UUGAUAGUUAUAUUCAGCAAAGAUGCAUACAAUUGACUAAAAGCGACAGUAAAGAUGUUUAUGUUACAGUUACACAAGAUUUCACAACUGUUUUCAACAUUGAUAAUAAUAAGAAAUGUUUCUUGAGCAGCAAAUCAGCAUAUUAGAAUGAUUUCUGAAGGAUCAUAUGACACUAAAAAAAACUGGAAUAAUGAUGCUGACAUCACGGGAGUAAAUUACAUUUUACAAUAUAUUAAAAUAGAAAAUAUGUUGCAACAAUACAAUAUUAUUAAAACAACAGCAAAAAAGACACUGUUUUCACACAGAGGUUGCAUAAGAGAAUUUAAUCCGCAACCACAAUCGCAAACAACAGUCAAAAUCCAUAUUUGGAUUUAUUACAGUUCAUCACAGAGAAGGUUUGAUCGCAGAUUUAGUCGCAGCAAACAGCCCAAGCGGCUCGUGAGUCGUGACAGAACACGGACUGACUGAAUGACACUUUCAUUUAAGCAGAAUAUCUCAGUAGAGAUCGCUGAACUCCAGCUUACUUGUUUGUCAGUGUUUUCAGAUCAUCAGCCCUUCUUCCAUAGUAUAGAGAGAGCGCAUGCACAAUGCACAUGGUUUCCAGAUUGCAAAGAUUAAGUAAAACUGGGCAGAAAAUAAAUCCGUUUAACAAAAAACAAACAUGAAAGCUCGUAGUAGAGGAUUGUACUACAGUCUGUAAUAUUACGUCUCCUUUUUUACAUUUUAGUCUCGUCUUUUUUCACCAAUGAUACUGCAUGUUGAUAUAGUCAGUUAUUGUUUAAUGAACUUUUUGUCGUCUCGUCUUAGCUCAUCAACAAACAUUUUGUCAUAGAUUUCAUUAACGAAAUUAACACUACCAAGUAGGGAUGUAACGAUUAACUCAACUCACGAUUCGAUACGAUUCACAAUACUGGUUUCACAAUACGAUUUUCUCAGAUUUUUUUUUUUUUUUUUUUUAACAAAAUGAGAUUUAAGGCAAAUUAUAAAUGAGAGAGUGUCUUUUUAUUAUUAUUUCUCAGACAAAAUGCUGCAUAUUUCUUUGUGAAAUUGAAAAAUCUUUUUAACAAAACUAAAUUGAAAUUUUAAAACACAUCCUAAAUCAAAUAAAUAAACAAAUUAAUAAUACAAAUAAAAGAAAUCUCUUCAUAUGAGUACAUGAACAAGAUGUUUAUUAAUCUAGGCUGAACUAUCAGUAGCCAUUUAAAUUUAGAGGCAACCACUGUAUUUUAAUCUCUAUCCCAACAAAGAUGCUGCAUACAUGCUUACAAGUUUUUAAUUUAAAUUAGAUUGUAUAAUUUUUAACAUUUGAAGCAAAAAAACAGAAUGCUCAGACUUUAACAUUGUGAAAAUAUGCUACAUAAAACUUCAUAACAGCAGACGGCUGCAUGAGAACAAAUUCACUGUCUGACAGCAGGUGGCGCUUAUGGAACAGCGGCCAUACAGCACUUCCUUGGUUACUGCUGUAAAAGCAGCGCUGCGUGCUUAUAAACACUACUUUAAAAUGCAUUGUACGGAGGUAAGAUAAGAAAAUACCAUCUAAACUUUUCUGAGUUCUCCUCAGAUAUACAUUCAUAUAAACCCUGCCCAGAAAUGUAUCACGAUUCAUUUAGCAUCUCAACCGUCUUGAAUGGUCACAUAUUUUAAUCGAUUUUCAACCGGUUCCAUCCCUACUACCUACGGAAGCUACGGGAGUUCAUAAUGUGUGAAAUGUGUGCAACCCAAAAAGAAAAUAUUUACACUAAUGACUAUUUAGCUUGAGAUACACCAAAGACUUCUUUUUGAAAAGUCUGUGCUCCUCACAAACAGGUAAUGAAACAAAUCUUGCUAAAUGCAUCAACCUGACCAGAUGGAUAGAAAUCACAUACCUGGCAGAAUGUAGUCACGCGUUAUACUGGGGGGAAAAAAACAUCUAUUAUCAGUGUUCAUAUUCUCAGAUAACUGAAUGCUGUUGUCGGUGCUGAUUAACAUAGAUAAAUCAGUCAACCUCUGCUCACCGUAGACUGCUGCUGUUAUUAGAUCAACAGACACUGAUAGAAAGCACAGCUUCUCUUCCAGUAAAGUCUUGGGCACUCUUCCACAUGAGUCAAUACUUUAUUAUGCUGCCAGAAACUCACUCACACAUAUAGCAAACUCAUACUGGAUCUAACUUCCAUACAAAAUCCACAAGCUACAGCCCUCAUAUAAGACAUCAGGUAAAGAACAGAGACCUGAGGAGUAUUCAAGCUAAAUGACAUGAGGGCUAAAGAAUUUAUUACAGCUUAAGAACAAGCACUUGUAGAUGUAAAGGGAUGAUGGUAAAGACAUAUUUAAAUCUCAAAUGCAGAGCUGUAUCCAGCUCAUAGCUCUAAACGGGCCACUCUGGACAUCCUACAGGCUUGCUAAGAAAACAAUGGGAAAUAGGAUGUGUCAGAGGGAUUUUUCCAACAGGCAAUUUCCACUGUCUUGCCUUUGGCUAUCCUUCUCCAUCUCAACUUGAUUACUUUUCCUACCUCUCUUGAUUUUUAACUGACCCCCAUGAUUUUGUUCAUUUGAAUAGCAUAAGCUACUUACGGUAUUAGAAACAGUAGUUUUUGUUUCUAUCAGGUAAACAAGCUUUUUGUUCAUGGAUACAAUGUUACAUCACUGGGCUUAUUCAACACACUCAAUAUUUCCUAGCUCAUAUUAUGCAAAGAAAUCCUAAAGCUGGCAUUCAUAUUCAGAGGAGUGACUUGCGUGGAGAAAGAAGAUCCUUGAAGUCAGCAAUAAGUGGUUGAUAGCAGGAAGGUGCAGCCUGUUUCCAUUCCAUCUUCACACACAUCUGUCAAUUUCGCCAGUUCUUACACACACAGCUGCUAUAUGCUCUGCUACGCAAAAUCUGUCCAGCCCUCGCAUCCUGUUUCAUAAGCAGUUGCUUGUUUCAUAAUGGGCCAGUGAGUACAAAACCCUGAGGCAGAGAGAGUCACCACCAAUACACUACACCCUCACAACUGCUGCUGAGGAUAAUGUAAGGGUCCCAGAGUCUGGAGGAAGAGAGGAGAGGCACACAAUCCACGUUGCUUGAGGUCCAGUGUAAAGUUUCCACAGUCAGUGAUGGUUUGGGGUGCCAUGUCAUCUGCUGGUGUUGGUCCACUGUGUUAUCUGAGGUCCAAGGUCAACGCAGCCGUAUACCAGACUUGGCACCUGCACACAGUGCCAAAGCUACUAGUACCUGGUUUAAGGACCAUGGCAUCCCUGUUCUUAAUUGGCCAGCAAACUCGCCUGACCUUAACCCCAUAGAAAAUCUAUGGGGUAUUGUGAAGAGGAAGAUGCGAUAUGCCAGACCCAACAAUGCAGAAGAGCUGAAGGCCACUAUCAGAGCAACCUGGGCUCUUAUAACACCUGAGCAGUGCCACAGACUGAUCGACUCCAUGCCACGCCGCAUCGCUGCAGUAAUUCAGGCAAAAGGAGCCCCAACUAAGUAUUGAGUGCUGUACAUGCUCAUACUUUUCAUGUUCAUAUUUUCAGUUGGCCAAGAUUUCUAAAAAUCCUUUCUUUGUAUUGGUCUUAAGUAAUAUUCUAAUUUUCUGAGAUACUGAAUUUGGGAUUUUCCUUAGUUGUCAGUUAUAAUCAUCAAAAUUAAAAGAAAUAAACAUUUGAAAUAUAUCAGUCUGUGUGUAAUGAAUGAAUAUAAUAUACAAGUUUCACUUUUUGAAUGGAAUUAUUGAAAUAAAUCAACUUUUUGAUGAUAUUCUAAUUAUAUGACCAGCACCUGUAUAGUCCUACAAAGCUAUUAUUAUCAGAGCAUGUGAGCAGAGCGUAGAGGGGAGGCUUAUAUUUUCGACUCAAAUUUUCAGUCAUUUUUCUCUUUCGGCCGAAAUUUCCGUGCAUCUCUAAUUUUGUCCACUGGGAACUGAAUGGAUUGUUAAUGUCUGACAGGUUGUCCCGCCCUCACGCCAGUAACCGUCAUCAGAGAAGAGAAGAGAUAUUGCUUCAAGAGAAAGGGCAAGUUAUUUUUAUUAAAGAUUAUGAGGGUGCAUGAAGUUUUAAAAAAUAAUGAUUUGCACAGAUAAAUCAUUUAUAUUUAUAAACAUUUUCAUAGUGACUUUCAGUUUCAACCUCAACCCAACAGCCUUGACAAAUGGAUAAUGCACAACUUUAUGUUUUUAAAUAUAGAGAAAAUAUUGUUUAAAAAUGUUUAAUAUCAGCAUAAAGCUUAUAUCAAUUAAAUAUCAGCCACUAAAAACACAUUUCUGAAAAACAUUUUUGGCAUUGUACUUCAUGAUUUAAGGGCUUUAUUUGUCAUCUGUUUUGAACUGAAUGAACUCCAAUCUCUUGUUGGAUUGCUAACGUUUAGUGAUAAGAGCCUUUAGUACAGGACGAAUCUCCAAAAUAAUGUGACUUCUGUCACAAAACAUUACAGAAAUCUUUCAAUUUUACCAUCAACAAUUCUGUUAUUCUCCAAUAGCAAGAGCCUGCAUUCAUACAAUGCCUGCAGUCAACUCAAUGCCAGGAACGCACAGGGCUCAUGUGGCUCAGUAGAACACACGAAUACAUUCUAUCACUCAAUACAGUCUAUCCCCAGCACUCGACACCACAAUCACUAUCUGAAUACACGCUGUACUUGACACCCAGUGUCACAUGAACGCAUACAGACACGCACACCUACAUUUUUAGUCCCUCUUGCUGGCUGCUCUCCAGAUUACUAAAAAUGUCAGAGAAGUAGCAGCUGCUAUUGAUGUGGUUGUGUAGACAGACACUGACUUUCUCCACAGACCGCCACCACUGUAAGACCACUUGCACUUGACACCACUGCUGACAACUACAGAACUCUUACAAAGAGCACAAACGCUGAGUGUGCACCCAAACACGAGUGCAUGCAGCUAGUUUAAUGCUACAGCUGCACUAAAGUACAUUCACUUCCUUAGAGAAUCUGUUUAAAUAGACUGAUUAAACAUCUGAGGUGAGAAGUGAUCAGAAUGUAUUCUAAGAUUGCUCACUACUCAUAAACAGCACAAGCAAAUAAAGCAGUAGGGAAAAAAGGAAGUUGUAACUGUUCUAUUUUGCUUAGCAGGAAAUACUCGCAAAAUGCUGCUGUGCUGAUAUGAAUAUGAUGGGUUCAUGUGAUAAUCACCUUCUACAGUCAAAUUAAACAGGGUAAACCUGUCAGCAGUGCUUGGAUAAAAUUCUCAUAUCGACAGAACGAGCAUGCAUACAUUUGCUUAUAUUCAAGUAUAUGCGGGUCAUAAUCAGUGAUAAAAAAUCUAAAAGACUUUGCUGUUAUUUUAAGCUGUGUAGCAAGUCACCAUUACGUAACAAAGAAAGAGGAACUGAUUGUAGAGAUAAAACGGGAGGCGUCUGAGAGUAGAGGAGAGGUGAGUAGUGGCUGUUUGCCCAAUCCCUGUGAGGGGCUGUGGGGAGUGGUUGACAGUUAGGGCCUCCAGACAGUGCAUUUACUGAACUUUAAUGGGGCACUCAGCACUAGUACUCCAUUCUGACCAAAUACAAAACUGAUGUCAGAUCAAGGACUUCUUCUAAAACACCCAGAAGGCCUCUGUGCUCUCCACUCCACACUCCACCAGACACUUAAGUUCAAAUUACCUUCUUAUAAUGCAUUCAAAUGGUUCAAAACACCACCCACUAACAACAACGCUAACAUACACAUUCCUUGCAGUAAAAACAAAGGCUUCCCGACCUUUGGCAUGUAGCCAUUAGUCAAAUAGUCUUAAUGGUAUUUGCAGCCUAUUUACUCUGGUCUUUUUUUAGCAAUCAAACACUCGGCCAUGGGCACAUGUUUACAACACUCACACUGACCAUCACUAGGGCAGGACAGACGCCAUGGGAGUUAGUCCAAAACUCUGCCUUAGCUAAUGGGAUCAGUCAGGCUCAAUUCUGAUCGAAUCAAGUCAUACAUUAAGACAUUAUUCUGCAAUAGUGCAUUUUGUCUAAAAAAAAAAAAAAACAAACAAACAAAUUUGACUUACAGCUUUAUUACUGUUACCAUGUAGUUUUGCUCCAAUAUAUAGAAAUUGUCCAUUUUACCUUCCAACACUCUAACGCUAAAGCUAUUAGGGGUGUAACAAUAUAUAAACCGAACCGAAAAACCACGAUACACCACUCACGGUAUGUACUGCGAUACUCUUAUUGCGCCCCCAAAACAUGCUGUUUUGACGCUAUUUAAUGUGGCGUGACAGAUCAAUGUACAGGCACCUCAGUUCCAACCAGCAGCGCGGAGCGCAAGUGAACGCGAUCAUCUCUUCCUCUUUAAUACUAGUUACAGAAUAAACUUUAAUGAACAUCUGAAGGUAUGUUGAAAGAUACAGUACAACUUACUGAAACUAGGGCUGGUCCGAAUACCAUUUUUUGAGCUUCGAAGCUCGGUAGUAAUCAGCACCGAAUAUUCGAAGCUUCGGCAGGAGGGGGCUGAAGAUAUUCUUCUCUCUAAUAAAGGCAUGUGUAACGAGUAGAAAUAUGGUGCAGCCCCUUUAAGAGCUGCACGCUCCCGGUUGAACUAUGUCGAAAGACUCGACCACCGCAUGUAUGCGGGUUAUUUGUUUUUCUGUCGCUAUUUAAAGUUAUUUUCUUUAUUAAGUAAUGCUGUGGACGGUACAACAUUUGCAACGGACAGUUACACGAGUUUCUUGGGGAAUAAAGCGCCAGUUUUGAAAUGUCAAUCGCCUCUGUGAACUCUGUCUGGUAACAAUAACUCAAGCUAAGUGAGCUAACGUUAUCCCAAUUUGCUCCGUAGACAACGCGUUACAGCAGGAAUCUCUGUGUGUCUGUCUGCCUGUUUGCAUUUUGAUUAUGUCGAGAACACGCUCAGAAUUAAUAAACUUUUAAUAAACUACAAAAUAUUGCGAGCCAGAAGCGGUGCGCCUCACACGGGCAGGGCUAAUAUGCUCCGAGAAUGGACACUGCACUAGUGAGUGAUACAAAACACAGGUCUGUUAAGUCAAUACUUUUAAAAAGGUAGCCUAACAUUUUUCUGACAAACAAAUCGCUCCCAAAUCAGAAAUUAGCAGCAGCAGUAAUUCCUGACACAGUAAAGGGUAGGGUAUUUAAAUAAAAGAAGAACGAAAAAUAAAUGAACGAAUGGUAAUAAAUAAAGAACACGCCGUCACAGUAAAAUCUCACGUUUGAGUUUUAACAAGCUCCUAUAUUUCGCAGUAUUCAUUUAGGUAAAAAGACUAAUAUAUUUUGUUUCUAUGACAAAGCAGUGCAGCUUAACCCAAAAUACGAGUUCACGCAGUUGUGCGCUACAGACAGAGAAUACUCCAGUUGCAGGGAACACAUCAGUAGGUUAAGAAGCAAAUAUAUUUAUUAAGUAUAACCAGGUUGGGUUCCUUAAACUGUCCGUCAUAUUAAAAACGGCUAGGUUAUAAGAUUAUUGUUAAAAAAAAAAAAAAGAGUAUUGUAUUUCGCCAGAUUUUAUACUGUACACAUUCAAGCGCAAAUGAGAACCGUUUCGCAAGGGGGAUGCCAGAUGUGCAAAAAAACAAACAAACACGAAAUUUGAAUCCCAAAAUUGAAAAUCAAAUACCAACCUACCAAACAAAUAUUCAAAUAUUCGAAUAUUCUGGUCCAGCCCUAACUGAAACAUAAUAUCUUGUGUAAUCGCUCAAUCAGUGUUUCAACUGCGGAAAGACAUCAAUAAAACAGCCUGUAAACACUGUGUCACGUAGCAUUUACCUCAGGUGAGUCCACAGCUUGUUAGUUCGCCAGAGAAAUGAACUCUCGCUAAAUAUAUGCACUAUAUUAGCCUACAUAUUCAUUAUAUUUUACUUAACUUAUUAGUGAUGUCUUUUUUAAUGUAUGUUUAAAUAUAUCUGUCAUGAAAAUGACAGCCACUGUGUAAAUGAUUAUAUUUCAAAAAUGAUUAUCAUAUCUAAAAAUAAAUAGCAACUGAAUUUAGGCUAAUAGUUUGGGCUCUGAACCUUUCAUAUUAUAGUAAUUAUUGAGAGAAUUACUAUAAUAAUUAUAGUAAUUAUUAAGAAAUCCUUAUCCUUAAGAAACUUUUAAUUAGAAUUGAAUUCAUUUAAAGACAGAUUUUGUUCAGUAAACUACUGUUUAAUAAAAAAAAAAAAAUUUUGUUUAGUUUUCUCCCCCUGCUGUACCGAACCGAUCCGUGACUUCAAAACCGAAGUAUGUACCGAACCGUUAGUUUUGAGUACCGUUACACCCUUAAAAACUAUCAUUUUU